GCCCCCAUCGUCUAGAUGGCCUAGGACAUCUCCUUUUCAGGGAGGCAACGGGGAUUCGAAUUCCCCUGGGGGUA
rnacentral:tRNA from 1 species